ACGGGAGGCAGCAGUGGGGAAUAUUGCACAAUGGGCGCAAGCCUGAUGCAGCAACGCCGCGUGAGGGAAGACGGUUUUCGGAUUGUAAACCUCUGUCUUCGGUGACGAACAAUGACGGUAGCCGAGGAGGAAGCCACGGCUAACUACGUGCCAGCAGCCGCGGUAAUACGUAGGUGGCAAGCGUUAUCCGGAAUUACUGAGUGUAAAGGGAGCGCAGGCGGGACAGCAAGUCAGCGGUGAAAUGUAUGGGCUCAACCCAUGAACUGCCGUUGAAACUGUUGUUCCUGAGUGGAGUAGAGGUAGGCGGAAUUCCGAGUGUAGCGGUGAAAUGCGUAGAUAUUCGGAGGAACACCAGUGGCGAAGGCGGCCUACUGGGCUCUAACUGACGCUGAGGCUCGAAAGUGUGGGGAGCAAACAGGAUUAGAUACCCUGGUA
rnacentral:rRNA from 1 species